UGCACUCACUACUGUAAGUCGCUCUGGAUAAGAGUGUCUGUGAAAUGUAAAUAU
rfam:Salmo salar isolate Sally breed double haploid chromosome ssa03, whole genome shotgun sequence.